rnacentral:rRNA from 1 species
CAAUAGCGUAUAUUUAAGUUGUUGCAGUUAAAAAGCUCGUAGUUGGAUUUUGGUUAAGAGGGCGCGGUCGGCCGUUUGGUCUGUACUGCGUUGUCUUGACUUCCUGAUGAGGACAUGCUCUUGGUUAACGCUGAGACAUGGAGUCAUCGUGGUUACUUUGAAAAAAUUAGAGUGUUCAAAGCGGGCUUACGCUUGAAUAUAUUAGCAUGGAAUAACACUAUAGGACUCCUGUCCUAUCUCGUUGGUCUCGGGAUGGGAGUAAUGAUUAAGAGGAACAGUUGGGGGCAUUCGUAUUUCAUUGUCAGAGGUGAAAUUCUUGGAUUUAUGAAAGACGAACUUCUGCGAAAGCAUUUGCCAAGGAUGUUUUCAUUAA